rnacentral:rRNA from 1 species
GCAUAUCAAUAAGCGGAGGAAAAGAAACCAACAGGGAUUGCCCUAGUAACGGCGAGUGAAGCGGCAACAGCUCAAAUUUGAAAUCUGGCUCUUUUCAGGGUCCGAGUUGUAAUUUGUAGAGGGUGCUUUGGUGUUAGCUGUGGUCUAAGUCCCUUGGAACAGGGCGUCACAGAGGGUGAGAAUCCCGUAUGUGGCCAGCAGCUUCCGCCUUGUAAAGCCCCUUCGACGAGUCGAGUUGUUUGGGAAUGCAGCUCUAAAUGGGAGGUAAAUUUCUUCUAAAGCUAAAUAUUGGCCAGAGACCGAUAGCGCACAAGUAGAGUGAUCGAAAGAUGAAAAGCACUUUGGAAAGAGAGUCAAAAAGCACGUGAAAUUGUUGAAAGGGAAGCGCUUGCAGCCAGACUUGCCCGUAGUUGCUCACCCAGACCUUGUGUCUGGUGCACUCUUCUGCGGGCAGGCCAGCAUCAGUUCAGGCGGUCGGAUAAAGGCUUUGGGAAUGUGGCUCCUCUCGGGGAGUGUUAUAGCCCAGGGCGUCAUGCGGCCAGCUUGGACUGAGGUCCGCGCUUUUGCUAGGAUGCUGGCGUAAUGGCUGUAAGCGGCCCGUCUUGAAACACGGACCAAGGAGUCUAACAUCUAUGCGAGUGUUUGGGUGUCAAGCCCGAGCGCGUAAUGAAAGUGAACGGAGGUGGGAACCCUUUGGGGUGCACCAUCGACCGAUCCUGAUGUCUUCGGAUGGAUUUGAGUAAGAGCAUAGCUGUUGGGACCCGAAAGAUGGUGAACUAUGCCUGAAUAGGGUGAAGCCAGAGGAAACUCUGGUGGAGGCUCGCAGCGGUUCUGACGUGCAAAUCGAUCGUCAAAUUUGGGCAUAGGGGCGAAAGACUAAUCGAACAUCUAGUAGCUGGUUCCUGC